rnacentral:rRNA from 1 species
CCUACGGGAGGCUGCAGUGAGGCAUAUUGGUCAAUGGACGAGAGUCUGAACCAGCCAAGUAGCGUGAAGGAUGACUGCCCUAUGGGUUGUAAACUUCUUUUAUAAAGGAAUAAAACGAGGCACGUGUGCCUUUUUGCAUGUACUUUAUGAAUAAGGAUCGGCUAACUCCGUGCCAGCAGCCGCGGUAAUACGGAGGAUACGAGCGUUAUCCGGAUUUAUUGGGUUUAAAGGGAGCGUAGAUGGGUUGGUAAGUCAGUUGUGAAAGUUUGGGGCUCAACCCUAACAUUGCAAUUGAUACUGGCAGUCUUGAGUACAGUUGAGGUAGGCGGAAUUCGUGGUGUAGCGGUGAAAUGCUUAGAUAUCACGAAGAACCCCGAUUGCGAAGGCAGCUUACUAAACUGUGACUGACAUUGAUGCUCGAAAGUGUGGGUAGCAAACAGGAUUAGAUACCCGAGUAGUC